UUACAAGUUCAUUACUGUCAUUAUAUUGAGGAUCCUGAUUACUGUGGUCCUACACCUGACCUCAUUCUUGAUGGAGCUAAUUUAACUGAAGGAAAUGGAUCAACUUAUUGUCACUGUGUGUACAGGCUGGGGAAAACUAUCUGUGCUGACCAUAAUGAGAGUAAAGGUGUCAAAGUUGGUCUUGUAUUACAUAUCAUUAGUAUUUGUAUUCUCACAACAUUCUUAUUUGAGAUAGUCCUCAAACUCAUUGCAUUUCGUCUCAAAUAUUUCACUCAUAAAUUCGAAGUAUUUGAUGGAAUUAUUGUCGUGAUAUCAUGGAUACUUGACAUAGCAUCAAUUUCUAGGGAAGAGAGUUUUGCUCAAGUUGCCACUUUAAUUAUUAUCUUGAGGCUUUGGCAUGUGGUCCGUAUUGUUAAUGGUGCUAUAUUAU